UACGUAGGGUGCGAGCGUUAAUCGGAAUUACUGGGCGUAAAGCGUGCGCAGGCGGUCCGUUAAGACAGAUGUGAAAUCCCCGGGCUUAACCUGGGAACCGCAUUUGUGACUGGCGGACUCGAGUAUGGCAGAGGGGGGUAGAAUUCCACGUGUAGCAGUGAAAUGCGUAGAGAUGUGGAGGAAUACCGAUGGCGAAGGCAGCCCCCUGGGCCCAAUACUGAC
rnacentral:rRNA from 1 species